UAAAAAGCUAUGACAGGGAAGAGUAUGCAUAUAUUAUAUUUUAAAGAGAGUGGGAACAAGGUGAAAGCCCGUAAACAUAAAUUUGCUGAAAAUCACCCUUGAGCUGUAAGCUGAAUUUAAAAUAGUAAGCUGCACCGGCAUUUGCCGUUAUUAUCAUGAAGUUAAAAAUUGGGUGGUACCGCGAACAGACCUCGCCCCAGAU
rnacentral:ncRNA from 1 species